CUCGGUUCAAAACUGAACCGAAAAUGCAAGACUUGCUUUAAUUGUUUUCUGUCAGUGUUUAUAUGUAUUGAUCUAGCACAGUGUAAAUAACAUGAGUUCCAUUAUAGUAAAUAAUACAGAAAGAAAUUGAAGGAAAACAAUUAAAGCAAGUCUUGCAUUUUCGGUUCAGUUUUGAACCGAG
rnacentral:miRNA from 1 species